GAUGAAGAACGUAGCGAAAUGCGAUAAGUAAUGUGAAUUGCAGAAUUCAGUGAAUCAUCGAAUCUUUGAACGCACAUUGCGCCCGCCAGCACUCUGGCGGGCAUGUCUGUUCGAGCGUCAUUUCAACCAUCAAGCCCCCAGGGGCUUGUGCUGGGGCCCUGCGGCUGCCCGCAGGCCCUGAAAACCAGUGGCGGGCUCGCUAGUCACACCGAGCGCAGUAGCACAUCUCGCUCAGGGCGUGCGGCGGGCUCCUGCCGUGAAACCCCCCACUGUAACCCCAAAGGUUGACCUCGGAUCAGGUAGGAAUACCCGCUGAACUUAAGCAUAUCAAUAAGCGGAGGA
rnacentral:misc_RNA from 1 species